GAGUCUGACUUUUAAAGGUCUCCUCCCUGGAAGAAGGCAGAGAUGGGGUGUUGCUCUGUUUACCAGGCAGGCCCCAAACCCAGGGGCUCAAAGGAUCUUCCUGCCUCAGCCUCCUGAAUAGCUCGGACAAGAGAUACAUGCCACCAUGCUCUCAGGCUGAGGUUCUGCAUUUCUAAAAUGCUUUUGGAUCAUGCCAUUGCUGCUGGCUGGAGGACCACACUUUGAAAAGUAAAGCUUUGGAAGUCGUUUGAUUAAUUCUCACUGCACUUGAUUUAUAGAUGGAGAGAAGAAAGACUGGAGAGAGAAUGUAAACUCACCUUCUUGCACUUAAGCCCCGAGCUGCUUAGUCCAGCGAACACUCCCUACAUCCUGAGGCCCCCUUUCCUGUUAGUGCCACCUUCUUAGUUGAGGAACUCAAAACUCCCAUAUUAACCACCCCCAUUCGUAUUUGCUCAAGGUGUCCUUUUGGUUACUCCCUUACUCAGAUUUUUCGAUGGCUCUUCUGAAAUCAAUUACAAGAUCAAGUUCAAACGUC